CGCUCAAAGGGAGAAAGAUGUAAGGAUCGUUGCGCUCUGCUGACCGUGGAAUGAAAACUUGAGAAGGGCUUUCACUGCUGGGUUAAAUCGUAUCCGGGUGUGGAAGGCCAGCUUUGUGCAGAGAACUGGGAGUAGUCCAUUUGCCGUUGUGGUCACAGGGGAACUUUUGAACUGUAAUAUAGAAGAGCAAGAGCCUGGAGGCAGGAAGACCAGGCGGAAAGGCACCGUCACAGCCCUGGCAGAACUGGUGGGGUAGAGCGACGAUGGGAGGAAGCAUUGUGAGGGGAGAAGUGGGGAGCAGAUGGUGCUGCAAGAGGAAGAGCAGGUGUGGCCAUGCCACCUGUCUGAUAUUUACUGUACGUGCUUUGGGAAUUCUGAGGCAAUUUAAAGAGCUUAACGUCUAAUGGGAAAAAAGAAGACCCAGGUACAGGUCCCCAUGAAGGAACAUCUUUGGAGUAGCAGGGUGAGAACAUUGAGAGCCCCAAGCCCAAGGGGGGCCUGUGUGAGCCUUGUCUGGCAGGGAGGUCACCAGCUCCUCUACAGUUUGUACAUGCUGUGCCUGCUCAAGCAGGAGGUGAGGCCAUCAGAUGUAGGAAGUCUAAAGACCCCACGAAGCACAGCCGAUUCCCAUACCUUAGUGAGAGAACUGCAGUAUGUCAGAUUUGGAGAGACUUUGGAGUUCCUUGACAUUCUCCCCUUCCCUACUCUUCCCAUUUUACAGAGGAGGAAACUGAGGCCCAGAGAGGAGAUUGGAGUUGCACAAGACCAUGCAACUAGUUUGGGUCAGAGGAGGAGCCCAGGUCUUCAGGUGUAGAACCUAUGCUUCUUAACAGGCUGCUUCUCUCUUGCAACCUGGGAGGGUCACAGCCUGUGUUGACAGAGUCGAGCAGUUCCUCAUUCUGGAGUGAUAAAGAAACAAUGAUAAUUUUGAAUGAACAGCCAUUUUCCUUA